rnacentral:misc_RNA from 1 species
AAUUUGUACCUUUAACUACUGUGUCUGCUACUCGCGUGGCUUCAUCUGGUCCUCUUCUUUUUCUUCGAAAUAUCUCGACUCCUAUUGGGUUUCUUCAAAUAAUAAUAUAAACAGAUGAGGGGGAAUUUUGUUGAGAUUUUUGCAGAUUUGGCUAGAGAGAAGAUUGUAAGCAGGUGGGUUGUGGGUUAUUUUUAUUUUUCAUUCGAUGCAGAGAAAAGGGUAGGGAAGAGUUUUUGUAGACGUUUUAGGAAUCUAGGUGUAGGAAAACAGGUUCUUUUUCCCUGAAACUUUUGGAAAUUUGUAGAAAAAGAGACAGAGAAGAUGAAGAUUCAAUGCAACGGGUGUGAGGCGGCGGAGGCGAGCGUGCUUUGCUGCGCUGACGAGGCUGCUUUGUGUUGGGCGUGCGAUGAGAAGGUUCAUGCAGCCAACAAGCUAGCAAGCAAGCACCAGAGAGUUCCUCUCUCUGGCGCUUCCCUUCAGAUGCCUAAAUGCGACAUUUGUCAGGUGCUGCUCUUUCCUUCUCUCUCUAUAAUACCUGUUAUGUAUUGGUGCUACUGCCUGUUUAUUUUCUCUAUGUGCAUUAUCAUUAUUUAAUUAAAAUGGUUUUCAAUGUUAAGAAUCAUGCUUUUAUGAUCAUACGAACAGAACCAUUUUUUUUACAAUUUGAUUCUUGAUGGAAUUUCAUAUAGUUUUGUUCUUUCCUGGUAAAAACAAGAGAUAUGUUUUGUACUCAUCUUGUUUCCCCAUCAUGUUAGCUUCAAAUUUCAGUCCAGUGGUUAGGAUUCGGCUGAUUUUGAUUUCAGUGGCUCCUAUUUUCUGGUAAUAAUAUAUAAUCUUGCUUCUGAUGAUCAUUUAUCGCAUGUUUACCCAGAAAAUUUAGAGUUUGUGAAGAAAUUUUCCUGUUAUAAGCAUUCUUAGUUCUUCUUGUCUUUUCUGUUUGUUGCUUUUCCAGUAUUUUCAAUGGUAUUUCUUAAUGUUGAUUGUGAACUUGAAUCAUAUCAUCAUUGGAGGUGGAUAUGGUUGGUUUGUCUAUUAUUCAAGUAAAGAAAGGGUUAUUAUUGUCUCUGUUU